UACGUAGGGGGGCAAGCGUUGUCCGGAAUUAUUGGGCGUAAAGAGCGUGUAGGCGGUCCGGUAAGUCAGCUGUGAAAGUCAAGGGCUCAACCCUUGAAAGCCGGUUGAUACUGUCGGGCUAGAGUCCGGAAGAGGCGAGUGGAAUUCCCGGUGUAGCGGUGAAAUGCGCAGAUAUCGGGAGGAACACCAAUGGCGAAGGCAGCUCGCUGGGACGGUACUGACGCUGAGACGCGAAAGCGUGGGGAGCAAACAGG
rnacentral:rRNA from 1 species